GCUGAGACUGGCGCACGGGUGCGUAACGCGUAGGCAAUCUGGCCCACAGUGGGGGAUAACACGCCGAAAGGCGUGCUAAUACCGCAUGAGACAGUAUCUCCGCAUGGAGAAGUUGUUAAAGCAGCAAUGUGCUGUGGGAUGAGCCUGCGUUCGAUUAGUUAGUUGGCGGGGUAACGGCCCACCAAGACAAUGAUCGAUAGCUGGUCUGAGAGGAUGAUCAGCCACACGGGGACUGAGACACGGCCCCGACUCC
rnacentral:rRNA from 1 species